UACGGAGGGGGCUAGCGUUGUUCGGAAUUACUGGGCGUAAAGGGUCUGUAGGUGGCUUGCUAAGUCAGACGUGAAAUCCCUCAGCUUAACCGGGGAACUGCGUCUGAUACUGGAUGGCUUGAGUUCGGGAGAGGGAUGCGGAAUUCCAGGUGUAGCGGUGAAAUGCGUAGAUAUCUGGAGGAACACCUGUGGCGAAGGCGGCCCCCUGGUUGGAUACUGACGCUGAUACGCGAAAGCGUGGGGAGCAA
rnacentral:rRNA from 1 species